rnacentral:tRNA from 1 species
UUUGGGAUAUAGCUCAGUUAGUAGAGUGGUUUUGCCUUGUACCAUGCACAAGGUCCUGGGUUCAAUCCCCAGCACCAAAA